AUUGAACGCUGGCGGCAGGCCUAACACAUGCAAGUCGAGCGAGCGGCGGACGGGUGAGUAAUGUCCGGGAAACUGCCUGAUGGAGGGGGAUAACUACUGGAAACGGUAGCUAAUACCGCAUACCAUCAGAUGUGCCCAUAGGGGAUUAGCUAGUAGGUGGGGUAAUGGCUCACCUGGGCGACGAUCCCUAGCUGGUCUGAGAGGAUGACCAGCCACACUGGGACUGAGACACGGCCCAGACUCCUACGGGAGGCAGCAGUGGGGAAUAUUGCGCAAUGGGCGCAAGCCUGACGGAGCCAUGCCGCGUGAGUGAAGAAGGCCUUCGGGUUGUAAAGCACUUUCGGUAGGGAGGCGUUACCUACAGAAGAAGCACCGGCUAACUACGUGCCAGCAGCCGCGGUAAUUC
rnacentral:rRNA from 1 species